CUACAAUGUAUUUGAAUACUAGAUUUUAAUCUUACCUUUUACAUUCCAUCAGAUUGCUAUAGUUUGCCUAAUUCACAUCCAAGGCGUCUAUGACAAAAAUUGGCAUUCUUUUCUUGUAUUUUUCUUUAUUAUGAAGAUAGUUUCCCAAAAUGUGUUUUGGUUGAGUUGACUGAUGAAGUAAAUGAGGCAUUGUAUACGCAGCUGAUGAUAAGCAAAAAAUAUGAUAUGAUGUUGGUGAGCUACAUCAGGCAUCCAUCUCUCUGUUCUAAUAUUAAAGGAAUGGGCCAAAAGAGGGAAGCAAUGAUUGGCCAAGGACAGCCAGCAUCCCCACAAUGGAGAAUGACCAUAGAAAGAUGUUUCCACAUUGAAGAAAGCUCUUUUGACUUGCAUUGGGAACCGGACACUUAGAAUGCCUUAGAUGAGAAGCAACAAUAGCCGGUGAAUGCCAACACUAAGGAUAGAAGCAUCUAUGAACAAGCCUAUUAGAUAUCCUUGGUGACCAUCUAUCUUAUGGACAUGUCUUUGCAGAGCUUUCUCACCUAUGGCCACAAGAAGGAGGGGACUACAUCUUGGAGGAACUAUCUCUCUGCAGAUUUAAACUCAUCGAACAUGACCUUUUGUUACCUGUUGGCAUCCAUCCAAUUGAAAAAUCUCAUAAAGCUUCCCAAGUUCUGUUAUGUCUGCUGGAAGGCAGUCUUCUGGCAAGGCCUAUAUGGAUUUCAGUUAGAUGAUCUUUUCUACCACAUGCAAAGUAAAACUAUAGAGAAAUGCUAAGGCGAUUCGUGUGCAGGCAGACAGAAGAGGCAGAGAUUCAAGUCACAUAUGUGCGAGAUCCAAGCUGUUCAUUAGUAUAUAUUUUCUUGUUUUAUCAAAAAGGAAAAGAAAAAUAUUGCCAGAGAGUAUCUUGAGUUUUACUAAUUAACUCAGGAGAAUACUCGGAUCCUUAGCUUGUAAAAGUGGUGUCCAUGGCUUGGUUAUCCGAAACGAUUUGUUUAUUGGGAUCCACCAUGGAAGGAUCCUUCAAGAUCUUGAAUAGUUAUAGGGAAACUUUUUUUUUUUCUUCCCAUAUAGAAGUUUUUAGUAUCAACCAAUCCUCUAUCUACCCAUACUUCAUUAGUGUUCAGGGUUUCCUUUCAUUUUGAUUAUUUUCAAAAUAUAUAUGUUUAUAUUUUCUAGAAACCUGCAUUAUUUGACACCCAUGUCUGACACAUGUUGUUGUUCUUUUUUCUUAUUACG